rnacentral:rRNA from 1 species
CUACGGGCGGCAGCAGUAAGGAAUAUUGCGCAAUGGAGGCAACUCUGACGCAGCCAUGCCGCGCGCAGGAAGAAGGCCUUAUGGGUCGUAAACUGCUUUUAUUUAGGAAUAAACCCCCGAACGUGUUCGGGGCUGAAGGUACUAAACGAAUAAGCACCGGCUAACUCCGUGCCAGCAGCCGCGGUAAUACGGAGGGUGCAAGCGUUAUCCGGAUUUAUUGGGUUUAAAGGGUGCGCAGGCGGGCUAUUAAGUCAGUGGUGAAAUCCCGGGGCUCAACUCCGGAACUGCCAUUGAUACUGAUAGUCUUGAGUUUGGUUGAAGUGGGCGGAAUGUAGCAUGUAGCGGUGAAAUGCAUAGAUAUGCUACAGAACACCAAUCGCGAAGGCAGCUCACUAAGCCAAAACUGACGCUCAUGCACGAAAGCGUGGGGAUCAAACAGGAUUAGAUACCCUUGUAGUC